AUUGAACGCUGGCGGAAUGCUUUACACAUGCAAGUCGAACGGCAGCACGGACUUCGGUCUGGUGGCGAGUGGCGAACGGGUGAGUAAUGUAUCGGAACGUGCCCAGUCGUGGGGGAUAACGUAGUGAAAAUUACGCUAAUACCGCAUACGAUCUAUGGAUGAAAGCGGGGGAUCGCAAGACCUCGCGCGAUUGGAGCGGCCGAUAUCAGAUUAGGUAGUUGGUGGGGUAAAGGCCCACCAAGCCAACGAUCUGUAGCGGGUCUGAGAGGACGACCAGGCACACUGGAACUGAGACCCGGUCCAGACUCCUACGGGAGGCAGCAGUGGGGAAUUGUGGACAAUGGGCGAAAGCCUGAUCCAGCCAUUGCGCGUGCAGGAUGAAGGCGCUCGGGUUGUAAACUGCUUUUGUACAGAACGAAAAGGUUUCUACUAAUACUAGGGGCUCAUGACGGUACUGUAAGAAUAAGCACCGGCUAACUACGUGCCAGCCGCCGCGGUAA
rnacentral:rRNA from 1 species